AAGCUCGUAGUUGAAUUUCGGGGUUCUACCGUUGGUCGGGCUAACAAGUCUGUACUAGCGUGUAGAAUCUCUACCUUCUGGGGAACCAUCAUGUUAUUAAUUUAGCGUGGUGGGAAACCAGGACCUUUACCUUGAAAAAAUUAGAGUGUUCAAAGCAGGCUUACGUCUGAAUACAUUAGCAUGGAAUAAUAAAAUAGGACGGUGGUCCUGUUUCGUUGGUUUCUAGGAUUGACGUAAUGAUUAAUAGGGAUAGUUGGG
rnacentral:rRNA from 1 species